rnacentral:rRNA from 1 species
UACGUAGGGCGCAAGCGUUGUCCGGAAUUAUUGGGCGUAAAGAGCUCGUAGGCGGUCUGUCGCGUCGGUUGUGAAAACACAAGGCUCAACCUUGUGCCUGCAAUCGAUACGGGCAGACUAGAGUACUGCAGGGGAGACUGGAAUUCCUGGUGUAGCGGUGGAAUGCGCAGAUAUCAGGAGGAACACCGGUGGCGAAGGCGGGUCUCUGGGCCGAUACUGACGCUGAGGAGCGAAAGCGUGGGGAGCGAACAGG